AGAGUUUGAUCCUGGCUCAGGAUGAACGCUGGCGGCGUGCUUAACACAUGCAAGUCGAACGAACCUUCGGGUUAGUGGCGGACGGGUGAGUAACGCGUGGGAAUCUGCCCUCAGGAGGGGGAUAACGGUUGGAAACGGCCGCUAAUACCCCAUAUGCCGAGAGGUGAAAUGAAUUUCGCCUGAGGAUGAGCCCGCGUCUGAUUAGCUAGUUGGUGAGGUAAGAGCUCACCAAGGCAUCGAUCAGUAGCUGGUCUGAGAGGAUGAUCAGCCACACUGGGACUGAGACACGGCCCAGACUCCUACGGGAGGCAGCAGUGGGGAAUUUUCCGCAAUGGGCGAAAGCCUGACGGAGCAACGCCGCGUGAGGGAUGAAGGCCUCUGGGCUGUAAACCUCUUUUAUCAAGGAAGAAGAUCUGACGGUACUUGAUGAAUAAGCCACGGCUAAUUCCGUGCCAGCAGCCGCGGUAAUACGGGAGUGGCAAGCGUUAUCCGGAAUUAUUGGGCGUAAAGCGUCCGCAGGCGGCCCUACAAGUCUGCUGUUAAAAAGUGGAGCUUAACUCCAUCAUGGCAGUGGAAACUGUUGGGCUCGAGUGUGGUAGGGGCAGAGGGAAUUCCCGGUGUAGCGGUGAAAUGCGUAGAUAUCGGGAAGAACACCAGUGGCGAAGGCGCUCUGCUGGGCCAUCACUGACGCUCAUGGACGAAAGCCAGGGGAGCGAAAGGGAUUAGAUACCCCUGUAGUCCUGGCCGUAAACGAUGAACACUAGGUGUCGGGGGAAUCGACCCCUCCGGUGUCGUAGCCAACGCGUUAAGUGUUCCGCCUGGGGAGUACGCACGCAAGUGUGAAACUCAAAGGAAUUGACGGGGGCCCGCACAAGCGGUGGAGUAUGUGGUUUAAUUCGAUGCAACGCGAAGAACCUUACCAGGGUUUGACAUCCUGCGAAUCUCUUGGAAACUUGAGAGUGCCUUCGGGAGCGCAGUGACAGGUGGUGCAUGGCUGUCGUCAGCUCGUGUCGUGAGAUGUUGGGUUAAGUCCCGCAACGAGCGCAACCCACGUCUUUAGUUGCCAGCAUUUAGUUGGGCACUCUAGAGAGACCGCCGGUGAUAAACCGGAGGAAGGUGUGGAUGACGUCAAGUCAUCAUGCCCCUUACAUCCUGGGCUACACACGUACUACAAUGCUACGGACAAAGGGCAGCAAGUUCGCGAGGACAAGCAAAUCCCAUAAACCGUAGCUCAGUUCAGAUCGUAGGCUGCAACUCGCCUACGUGAAGGAGGAAUCGCUAGUAAUCGCAGGUCAGCAUACUGCGGUGAAUACGUUCCCGGGCCUUGUACACACCGCCCGUCACACCAUGGAAGUUGGCCACGCCCGAAGCCGUUACUCCAACCCUUGUGGAGGAGGACGUCGAAGGUGGGGCUGAUGACUGGGGUGAAGUCGUAACAAGGUAACC
rnacentral:rRNA from 1 species